CCAGUGUUAACGCCAAAUUCGAUGUUGUUUCUAAAUAGUAAUAUUUUACCCGAAUUGCAACCACAUAAUAUUGAGGACGGUGACCUUAGAAAACGAGCGAAACACUUGAUGAAAUGCAAAAAAGCGCUUUGGAGACGGUGGACCCAGGAAUAUUUGCGUAGCCUUCGUGAGAGACACCGUUCGAAAGCAGAAUGUAGUGGAGCAGUGCCAACGGUAGGAGAUGUAGUGAUUAUUGCGACAGAUGAGAGAAAACGUGGUCGUUGGCCGUUAGGAAUUGUCGAAGCACUGAUUGUGGGAAAAGAUGGAAAAAUCAGGGGAGCCAAAGUACGUACAGAAGUCUCAAAUGGAGCGUGCCGUGCAGCAUUUGUACCCACUAGAGGUCUCGGUUGACAAGAAAGAACCAGUACCGGCAAUACUCAACCCGAAAGCGGAGACAUUUAGACCGAAGCGGG